UACGUAGGGGGCUAGCGUUGUCCGGAAUCAUUGGGCGUAAAGAGCGCGUAGGCGGCCCGGUAAGUCCGCUGUAAAAGUCCAGGGCUCAACCCUGGAAAGCCGGUGGAUACUGUCGGGCUCGAGUCCGGAAGAGGCGAGUGGAAUUCCUGGUGUAGCGGUGAAAUGCGCAGAUAUCAGGAGGAACAUCUAUUGCGAAGGCAGCUCGCUGGGACGUAACUGACGCUGAGACGCGAAAGCGUGGGGAGCAAACAGG
rnacentral:rRNA from 1 species